rnacentral:rRNA from 1 species
UACGUAGGGGGCGAGCGUUGUCCGGAUUUACUGGGCGUAAAGCGCGCGUAGGCGGAGCGUUAAGUCCGGUCUGAAAGCCCCCGGCUCAACCGGGGAAGGUGGCUGGAAACUGGCGCACUGGAGGGCGGCAGAGGCGUGUGGAAUUCCGGGUGUAGCGGUGGAAUGCGUAGAGAUCCGGAAGAACACCGGAGGCGAAGGCGGCUUGCUGGGCUUGGUCUGACGCUGAGGCGCGAAAGCGUGGGGAGCGAACAGG